AUUGAACGCUGGCGGCAGGCCUAACACAUGCCAGUCGAGCGGAUGCAGGGAGCUUGCUCCUGGAUUCAGCGGCGGACGGGUGAGUAAUGCCUAGGAAUCUGCCUGGUAGUGGGGGAUAACGUCCGGAAACGGGCGCUAAUACCGCAUUAGUCCUGAGGGAGAAAGUGGGGGAUCUUCGGACCUCACGCUAUCAGAUGAGCCUAGGUCGGAUUAGCUAGUUGGUGGGGUAAAGGCCUACCAAGGCGACGAUCCGUAACUGGUCUGAGAGGAUGAUCAGUCACACUGGAACUGAGACACGGUCCAGACUCCUACGGGAGGCAGCAGUGGGGAAUAUUGGACAAUGGGCGAAAGCCUGAUCCAGCCAUGCCGCGUGUGUGAAGAAGGUCUUCGGAUUGUAAAGCACUUUAAGUUGGGAGGAAGGGCAGUAAGUUAAUACCUUGCUGUUUUGACGUUACCAACAGAAUAAGCACCGGCUAACUUCGUG
rnacentral:rRNA from 1 species